GUGCCAGCAGCCGCGGUAACACGGGGGGAGCAAGCGUUGUUCGGAAUCACUGGGCGUAAAGGGCGUGUAGGCGGUCCGGUAAGUGAGAUGUGAAAUCCCUCGGCUCACCCGAGGACCUGCAUCUCAAACUGCCUGACUCGAGUACGGGAGAGGAUGUGGGAAUUCCUGGUGUAGCGGUGAAAUGCGUAGAUAUCAGGAGGAACACCGGUGGCGAAAGCGCACAUCUGGCCCGAUACUGACGCUGAGGCGCGAAAGCUAGGGGAGCAAACGGGAUUAGAUACCCCCGUAGUCC
rnacentral:rRNA from 1 species